UACGAAGGGGACUAGCGUUGUUCGGAAUUACUGGGCGUAAAGCGCACGUAGGCGGAUUUGUUAGUCAGGGGUGAAAUCCCGGGGCUCAACCUCGGAACUGCCUUUGAUACUGCAAGUCUCGAGUCCGAUAGAGGUGGGUGGAAUUCCUAGUGUAGAGGUGAAAUUCGUAGAUAUUAGGAAGAACGCCGGUGGCGAAGGCGGCCCACUGGAUCGGUACUGACGCUGAGGUGCGAAAGCGUGGGGAGCAAACAGG
rnacentral:rRNA from 1 species